ACUGCUCAGUAACACGUGGACAACCUGCCCUUAGGACGGGGAUAAACCCGGGAAACUGGGUAUAAUACCCGAUAGGUCUCGAUUGCUGGAAUGCAUCGAGAUUUAAAGCUCCGGCGCCUAAGGAUGGGUCUGCGGCCUAUCAGGUAGUAGUGGGUGUAGCGUACCUACUAGCCUACGACGGGUACGGGUUGUGAGAGCAAGAGCCCGGAGAUGGAUUCUGAGACACGAAUCCAGGCCCUACGGGGUGCAGCAGGCGCGAAAACUUUACAAUGCUGGCAACAGCGAUAAGGGAACCUCGAGUGCCAGGUUACAAAUCUGGCUGUCGAGAUGCCCAAAAAGCAUUUCAUAGCAAGGGCCGGGCAAGACCGGUGCCAGCCGCCGCGGUAACACCGGCGGCUCGAGUGGUAACCGUUAUUAUUGGGUCUAAAGGGUCUGUAGCCGGCCGGAUAAGUCUCUUGAGAAAUCUGGCAGCUUAACUGUCAGGCUUUCAGGAGAUACUGUCUGGCUCGAGGCCGGGAGAGGUGAGAGGUACUUCAGGGGUAGGGGUGAAAUCUUGUAAUCCUUGAAGGACCACCAGUGGCGAAGGCGUCUCACCAGAACGGACCUGACGGCAAGGGACGAAAGCUAGGGGCACGAACCGGAUUAGAUACCCGGGUAGUCCCAGCCGUAAACGAUGCUCGCUAGGUGUCGGCCACGGUGCGACCGUUGUCGGUGCCGUAGGGAAGCCGUGAAGCGAGCCACCUGGGAAGUACGGCCGCAAGGCUGAAACUUAAAGGAAUUGGCGGGGGAG
rnacentral:rRNA from 1 species